ACUCAAAGGAAUUGACGGGGGCUCGCACAAGCGGUGGAUCAUGUGGUUUAAUUCGAUGCUAACCGAAGAACCUUACCGAGGCUAGAAACUCCGACGAAGUUUCGGCGAAAGCCGAAAUGUCCUCACGGACGUCGGAGCAGGUGAUGCAUGGCUGUCGUCAGUUCGUGGCUUGAGCUGUUCCCUUAAGUGGGGUAACGAACGCAACCCCUAUCGUGUGUUACAAGUGUCACACGAGACCGCUCCGCACAGUGUUCUUGACCAUGAGGGUCGAGAACAAUGUGCGGAGAGGAAGUUGGGAUGACGCCAAGUCAGCAUGUCCCUCUGACGCCUCGGGCCACACACGUGAUACAAUGGUUGGUACAACGGGCAGCAAUGGCGCAAGCCGGAGCCAAUCCUCAGAAAGCCAACCUCAGUUCGGAUCGGGGUCUGCAACCCGACCCCGUGAAGCUGGAAUCGCUAGUAAUCGCGGGUCAGAAUACCGCGGUGAAUACGUUCUCGGGCCUUGUACACACCGCCCGU
rnacentral:rRNA from 1 species